AUUAGCUGGUGAAUGCUUCCUCAAGGCUCCAAACAUGGGUCCAGUUGGGAAAACCCUGAAGACUGUCUUCACCCACCUUCCAUCCUGGGGUGGGGACAAGAGUACUGGAGACAGAACUUAGAGCUCAUUGCAUGCUGUGCAAGCACUCUAUCACUGUGCUAUCCUAGAAGGAUUUCAGAAGUGUUGUUGCGAUUCCUCGCCCACUCCUCCUAUAGUUCCCACCCAUUUGCUUACAAAACACCGUGCUCUCCCGUGUGUCAGGGGGACUCCUCCGGUACCGGUACCGACAACCUAGAGGAUGGAGCUCCGCAAAGUGAGCCUGUUCCCACCGCCUAGAUGUGUCCUCAGCAGGCAGAGGCCUGAAACCAGGAGGGCAGGAGGGUGGGAUGUGGGCAGAAAAUAUGGUUUGGGUUGUGGAUGCCCUUGGCACAGAGCCCCAGAACUCGGUGUCCAUACGUCUGGGGCAUGUCCUCCACAGCAGCUAAGGCUGGAACCCUGCUUGCCUGGAGCACUCUUCUUCUUAGAAAAGACUUAAUGGGAAUCUCUCAUAAUCACUCCAGUGUGGUUUAUGGUUUUGCCUUGGGUGUUACUACUGCGUGGGAGGGGAGCUCUCCCAGCCCCACAGAUGCCGGGGGAAGCUGCCACUGAACCUCCUGAUGCCUCUCUGAGCACCCCUCCCCCACCCCACCCACCACGAUGGUCUUUGUGUGCUAU
rnacentral:lncRNA from 1 species